rnacentral:misc_RNA from 1 species
UAGGAGCGAGGCUUGCCCGCGAUAGGUUCGCCGCGGUGAUUCUGAUGCACCGCGGUGUCUUGAUCGCGGGCAAGCCUCGCACCUA